rnacentral:rRNA from 1 species
CCUACGGGUGGCAGCAGUAGGGAAUAUUACUCAAUGGGGGAAACCCUGAAGCAGCAACGCCGCGUGGAGGAUGAAGGUUUUAGGAUUGUAAACUCCUUUUGUGAGAGAAGAUAAUGACGGUAUCUCACGAAUAAGCACCGGCUAACUCCGUGCCAGCAGCCGCGGUAAUACGGAGGGUGCAAGCGUUACUCGGAAUCACUGGGCGGAAAGAGUGCGCAGGCGGGCUUGUAAGUCAGAUGUGAAAUCCUGUGGCUUAACUACAGAACUGCAUUUGAAACUAUGAGUCUAGAGUGUGGGAGAGGUAGGUGGAAUUCUUGGUGUAGGGGUCAAAUCCGUAGAUAUCAAGAGGAAUACUCAUUGCGAAGGCGACCUACUGGAACAUUACUGACGCUCAUGCACGAAAGCGUGGGGAGCAAACAGGAUUAGAUACCCGAGUAGUC